rfam:Orchesella cincta Ocin01_Sc0328, whole genome shotgun sequence.
GGCCCGUUAGCUCAGUUGGUUAGAGCGUGGUGCUAAUAACGCCAAGGUCGCGGGUUCGAUCCCCUCACGGGCCA